rnacentral:rRNA from 1 species
GACGAACGCUGGCGGCGUGCCUAAUACAUGCAAGUCGAACGCAGUGGGGACGGGUGAGUAACACGUGGGUAACCUCCCAUCAGAGGGGAUAACACUUGGAAACAGGUGCUAAACCGAUACUGAUGGAUGGACCCGCGGUGCAUUAGCUAGUUGGUGAGGUAACGGCGCACCAAGGCAACGAUGCAUUGCAGACCUGAGAGGUGGAUAGGCAACACUGGCACUGCGCCACGGCCCAGACUCGUACGGGAGUCAGCAGUAGGGAAGCUUCGGCAAUGGACGAAAGUCUGACCGAGCAACGCCGCGUGAGUGAAGAAGGUUUGCGGAUCGUAAAACUCUGUUGUUAGAGAAGCGGUAUCUAACCAGAAAGCCACGGCUAACUACGUGCCAGCCGCGGCGGUAAUUC